rnacentral:tRNA from 1 species
GCCGAAGUGGUGGAACUGGUAGACGCGCUGCGUUCAGGGCGCAGUGGGCGAAUAGCCCGUGUGGGUUCGAAUCCCACCUUCGGCA